rnacentral:rRNA from 1 species
GACUGCGGAGGAUCAUUACUGAGUUCUGAACAGGGUUGUAGCUGGUCUCAUUAACCUGGGACAUGUGCACGCCUGGCUCAUCCACUCUUAACCCCUGUGCAUCUCAAGUAGAAGAGGACAGAUGGGUUGUUCGUCAGCUCAGAAGUCUUCUGCUACGUUUUUCUACAAACGCUUCAGUAAAAGAAUGUUGUUCUUGCGUAAUGCAUUUAUACAUAUAACUUUCAGCAACGGAUCUCUUGGCUCUCGCAUCGAUGAAGAACGCAGCGAAAUGCGAUAAGUAAUGUGAAUUGCAGAAUUCAGUGAAUCAUCGAAUCUUUGGACGCACCUUGCGCUCCUUGGUAUUCCGAGGAGCAUGCCUGUUUGAGUGUCAUGGUAUUCUCAAUCUCUAAGAAUUUUUUUUUUCUUGGUUGAUUGGACUUGGAGGUUGUGUCGGUUUUAUCACAAUCGACUCCUCUGAAAUGCAUUAGCAUUGGUCUUACUGAUCAUCUCGGUGUGAUAAUUAUCUGCGCCGUGACAGAGAAGUUAAUUCUAGCCCAUGCUUACAACCGUCUCGGUCGAGACAAUUUUUGACAUCUGACCUCAAAUCAGGUAGGACUACCCGCUGAACUUAAGCAUAUCAAUAAGCGGAGGA